CCUACGGGUGGCAGCAGUGAGGAAUAUUGGUCAAUGGACGAGAGUCUGAACCAGCCAAGUAGCGUGAAGGAUGACUGCCCUAUGGGUUGUAAACUUCUUUUAUAUGGGAAUAAAAUGUUCCACGUGUGGGAUUUUGUAUGUACCAUAUGAAUAAGGAUCGGCUAACUCCGUGCCAGCAGCCGCGGUAAUACGGAGGAUCCGAGCGUUAUCCGGAUUUAUUGGGUGUAAAGGGAGCGUAGGUGGAUUGUUAAGUCAGUUGUGAAAGUUUGCGGCUCAACCGUAAAAUUGCAGUUGAAACUGGCAGUCUUGAGUACAGUAGAGGUGGGCGGAAUUCGUGGUGUAGCGGUGAAAUGCUUAGAGAUCACGAAGAACUCCGAUUGCGAAGGCAGUUCACUGGACUGCAACUGACACUGAGGCUCGAAAGUGUGGGUAUCAAACAGGAUUAGAUACCCCAGUAGUC
rnacentral:rRNA from 1 species